rnacentral:tRNA from 1 species
CCCUGGGUGGCUCAAUCGGUUGAGCAUCUGACUUCGGCUCAGGUCAUGAUCUCAUGGUUUGUGAGUUCGAGCCCCACAUCAGGCU